UAUACCUCCCGCUGGAGCUGCGCCAUGCACCCCAGGGAAGUCCUGCGCUGAGCGGCUUCGGCGGGUCUCUGGCAGGUGGAGGGAGGCAGCUCCACCUCCCGUCACCUGCCCUGUCUCACGUCUGGCAGCGGCAAGCCAGCGGCGGCGGGGAGGAGGGGCGCUCCGGAGAUCCGAGGCUCGGCGGCGGGCCGGACGGGAGAGCUUGAAGGCAGCCAGGAUCAGCCCCACGCCCGCCUCGCACAGCCGGUAGUCAGGACAGGCAGGCCCAGGGACGGCGCCGCUGCAACUGAAGGCAAAGCGCAAACCGUGGUCGCUGCCUGCCCCAGUGUCACAAAGGGAGCUGCGGAAGAGAUGGGCCGUCGGCGGCAAAGUUGCCUGGCACCGCAUGCAUGGCGGGGACUGGCAAGAAUGCGCCGGAAACACCUCCAGGGGACCGGAGAGAUGGAACGAGAGAUUCUAUCCGUUGUCACACGGAAUCUCUAGCACUUGUAUUACCUUUGAAAAGAUGGCACAGUUGAUCUUUGCUGACAGAAUUGCUUGACUUUUAUACUGCAUUAUCUCUCUGCUGAAGUAUUGAAAGGAAAAGCUACCAACAAGGAAACCAGUGAGAGUUGACUCAAUUGAUUACUGUCCAUGAGAAACUUUAAGAAACAUAUGGAUGGAUAUCCAGAUGGUACUUGCUUGGAAGCUUGCCUUGCUAUUCAUUUUCAAUAAUGUGUCAAGUACUUUAGAGAUGAAACCUGAAAAAUCCUGCCAUGAGACUUCUUUGGAUUGUUUGUCUGGAAGACUGGUUUGAUCUUUGAUACUGAUUGACUGCAGUAGAUGAACCGACCAAAAGUCUCCAAAGAAACCACUAGAUGGCACAGCCAAUCUUAGUUUUUGCAGCAGCA